rnacentral:rRNA from 1 species
GACGAACGCUGGCGGCGUGCCUAAUACAUGCAAGUCGAGCGAGUCUGCCUUGAAGAUCGGAGUGCUUGCACUCUGUGAAACAAGAUACAGGCUAGCGGCGGACGGGUGAGUAACACGUGGGUAACCUGCCCAAGAGAUCGGGAUAACACCUGGAAACAGAUGCUAAUACCGGAUAACAACAGAUGAUGCCUAUCAACUGUUUAAAAGAUGGUUCUGCUAUCACUCUUGGAUGGACCUGCGGUGCAUUAGCUAGUUGGUAGGGUAACGGCCUACCAAGGCGAUGAUGCAUAGCCGAGUUGAGAGACUGAUCGGCCACAUUGGGACUGAGACACGGCCCAAACUCCUACGGGAGGCAGCAGUAGGGAAUCUUCCACAAUGGACGCAAGUCUGAUGGAGCAACGCCGCGUGAGUGAAGAAGGGUUUCGGCUCGUAAAGCUCUGUUGUUGGUGAAGAAGGACAGGGGUAGUAACUGACCUUUGUUUGACGGUAAUCAAUAAGAAAGUCACGGCUAACUACGUG